UCCAGUGUGAGACCAUGCAGGCAAAUUAAAUCCAAGUUACUCUUAUCAGACCCUUUCUAUCUCUUCUUCAUCAGAGCAGAGGGAUGCUCAUGGAGCACCUCAUCUGAGGCCCUUGGAUUGGAAGGUGUGGCUUCCUAGAACUCAUCCAGGCUGGUGGGUUUGAAGAGGGAGGCAUUUGGCUUGUCUGAACACACCUGUGUGAAAGCACCUGGGGAUAUUCUGGCACCUGAAGGAGAACUGGGUGAGGCAUUGUACUUCAGAGAGUUACACAGGAAAUGCAGAGUGAAAGAAAGGAAGACACGAGCACAGCAUUUGGCUCGCAUCCUCUCUAACUCCCAGGAUGUGACCUCCAGAAUCUGCAGCUAAACAAUGUCGAAAUUACAGAGAAGGAAACUGGCUCUGCCACUUCAGAACCAGCACAGGAUUUGUAAGGCAAGCUUUAGCAUCUGUGGAAAAAAUACCUAGCAGAGGUACUUGGACACUGAGAGAUUGUUUCCAGUCAACAUCCCACAGCAAAGAAUUAUUACGUCUUAUGAUUAUUUUUUAUUUACAUACACAUC